rnacentral:rRNA from 1 species
AACGAACGCUGGCGGCAUGCCUAACACAUGCAAGUCGAACGAGACCUUCGGGUCUAGUGGCGCACGGGGGCGUAACGCGUGGGAACCUUCCCUUAGGGUCGGAAUAACUCCCCGAAAGGGGUGCUAAUACCGGAUAAUGUCUUCGGACCAAAGAUUUAUCGCCUUUGGAUGGGCCCGCGUUGGAUUAGCUAGUUGGUAGGGUAAAAGCCUCCCAAGGCGACGAUCCAUAGCUGGUCUGAGAGGAUGAUCAGCCACACUGGGACUGAGACACGGCCCAGAAUCCUACGGGAGGCAGCAGUGGGGAACAUUGGACCAUGGGCGAAAGCCUGAUCCAGCAAUGCCGCGUGAGUGAUGAAGGCCUUAGGGUUGUAAAGCUCUUUUACCCGGGAUGAUAAUGACAGUACCGGGAGAAUAAGCUCCGGCUAACUCCGUG